CCCAUGAAUAGGGUUUAAGAAACAUACUAUGAACAUUGUUUUUCAUUUUUGAAAAGGUUUGGCAGAAAUCCAUCCGCAAACCGUUCUAGCUUACGGGUACGGAGGGUGAUCAGCCCCGUUGUACCCUGUAUUGAUCAAUAAUAUAUAACUCUGAACGAAAUUCAUCGUUUUAUUCUGUCCGCCUCGGGCGCAAAAAUUUUCCCAUAUAGGGAUGUUCAUACAUGCCUGGUUCCAAACCCGAAGGUUUUUAAUCUUGCUCAACAAUAAUAUGUAAUUCAACAUAUAUAUAUAUACGGGUAAUUGACAAAAGUGUAUCAACAUGUGAAUAAAUGUCAUGAUUAUCCAAGUGGGGACA
rnacentral:lncRNA from 1 species